rnacentral:rRNA from 1 species
CGGGGUGAGUAACGCGUGGGUAACCUGCCUCAUACAGGGGGAGUAACAGUUAGAAAUGACUGCUAAUACCGCAUAAGCGCACGGGGAUGCAUAUUCUUGUGUGAAAAACUACCGGUGGUAUGAGAUGGACCCGCGUCUGAUUAGCUAGUUGGUGAGGUAACGGCUCACCAAGGCGACGAUCAGUAGCCGACCUGAGAGGGUGACCGGCCACAUUGGGACUGAGACACGGCCCAAACUCCUACGGAAGGCAGCAG